rnacentral:lncRNA from 1 species
ACAACGCGAGGCUUCUUCAAAUGGCGGAGGCUCCAUUGACAUUGAUUCUUCCUCCCUUCCUUCGAAUUCCGAUUGUGAUUUGCUCAAAUAGAAUGUGCACUCACAGAUUACUGUGUUUUGUUUUUACUUUUUAUCCAUACUUUUACAGAUUUUGUAGUUUUUCAGUAAAGUUCAACGCAGCCGCUCGAGUGAAAUUGCAUCAUGGCUACAGGAAUUUGUUUGUCUCAAAUUGAUCCCUAAACAUUAUUUUCAAGAUAGCACACAUUUUAAUUGCAAUCAACAUAUUUAACUUUUGCUCAUCCUUUUUUUUUUUUUUUAAUCGUAUUCUUAUUUUUAGCCUUCUUUAAUUUGCACAUCUUAUCUUUGAUGAUGG